rnacentral:rRNA from 1 species
GACAGAGGGUGCAAACGUUGUUCGGAAUUACUGGGCGUAAAGCGCGUGUAGGCUGCUUGGUAAGUCGGAUGUGAAAGCCCUGGGCUUAACCCAGGAAGUGCACUCGAAACUUCCAAGCUCGAGUCCUGGAGAGGGUGGCGGAAUUCUCGGUGUAGAGGUGAAAUUCGUAGAUAUCGGGAGGAACACCAGUGGCGAAGGCGGCGACCUGGACGGACACUGACGCUGAGACGCGAAAGCGUGGGGAGCAAACAGG